rnacentral:misc_RNA from 1 species
GAAAAACCCUUUUGCCCAAUCUCCAUCCCUCUCCCUCUUUAUAUCUCUGGGCUUGUGUAAUCUUUUAACAGAUCACGCUAAAGGUAGCUAUAGCAAAAUGAUAAAGCAUUAAGAUUAAAUCAAGCAAGGGAGUGGCUAGCUAGCUAGCUAGCUGCUAGCUACAGGUAUCGCCAAAAAACAAAGCAUAAAAGAAGCCAAAGGAUGAGAGAGAGAGAGAGAGAG